AUUGAACGCUGGCGGCAUGCCUUACACAUGCAAGUCGAACGGCAGCACGGGAGCAAUCCUGGUGGCGAGUGGCGAACGGGUGAGUAAUAUAUCGGAACGUGCCCAGUCGUGGGGAUAACGUAGCGAAAGCUACGCUAAUACCGCAUACGAUCUAUGGAUGAAAGCGGGGGAUCGCAAGACCUCGCGCGAUUGGAGCGGCCGAUAUCAGAUUAGGUAGUUGGUGAGGUAAAGGCUCACCAAGCCGACGAUCUGUAGCUGGUCUGAGAGGACGACCAGCCACACUGGGACUGAGACACGGCCCAGACUCCUACGGGAGGCAGCAGUGGGGAAUUUUUGGACAAUGGGGGCAACCCUGAUCCAGCAAUGCCGCGUGAGUGAAGAAGGCCUCGGUGU
rnacentral:rRNA from 1 species